rnacentral:ncRNA from 1 species
ACAGUAGUCGAAGUAGUACGAGAGGAACACUCGUCCAGAUACUGGUAAUGCCGUGUCUGAAAAGACAGUACGGCGAAGCUACCAUCUGCUGGAUUACGGCUGAACGCCUCUAAGCCGGAUCCAUGCUGGAUAAGCAGUGUUGUACACCGUGCUCAAUGCUACAAGAAAAAGGCUAGGUCAGGCUUCGGCCUGACCAAAAUUCAAGCUGCUAUACCUCUGGCUGCAUUGACUUGUGGUCAGAGUGUAUGGUGAUCAUAGCAAUUGCAAGUAUUGGGCUCGAUAAAUCCUUUGAAGACGACUUAAUUGCAUCCGGGUAUUGUAAGUGUUGAGAGUAGGCUUAGUCUUACGAUCCACUGAGAUUCAUCCCGUGUUGCGCCGAUUUGU